rnacentral:rRNA from 1 species
GACGAACGCUGGCGGCGUGCCUAAUACAUGCAAGUAGAACGCUGAAGGAGGAGCUUGCUUCUCUGGAUGAGUUGCGAACGGGUGAGUAACGCGUAGGUAACCUGCCUGGUAGCGGGGGAUAACUAUUGGAAACGAUAGCUAAUACCGCAUAAUAGUAGAUGUUGCAUGACAUUUGCUUAAAAGGUGCAAUUGCAUCACUACCAGAUGGACCUGCGUUGUAUUAGCUAGUUGGUGAGGUAACGGCUCACCAAGGCAACGAUACAUAGCCGACCUGAGAGGGUGAUCGGCCACACUGGGACUGAGACACGGCCCAGACUCCUACGGGAGGCAGCAGUAGGGAAUCCUCGGCAAUGGGGGGAACCCUGACCGAGCAACGCCGCGUGAGUGAAGAAGGUUUUCGGAUCGUAAAGCUCUGUUGUAAGAGAAGAACGAGUGUGAGAGUGGAAAGUUCACACUG